GGAAAUUCAAUUUAUACGAAUAAAAUAUCAUUUGCACUUCUAAUUAAAACUCUAUAAACUUAUAUUUCUCAUAUAUUACUGUCACUUUCAAUUUUGUUAUUUAUCUAUAGUUAGAUUUUUAAAAAUUGGAAAAUUUAAUAAAAUUGUUAGAUUUAAGAAAUGAAGAGUAAAUUAGAAAAAUUGUCCCAUGGAAAAAAAGAGUCAAAUUAGCGUCGACACAAAAACACAUCAAACUUUAACAUUAAUUCCAUCAAAACUAGCACAUUAACUAUUCUUCUGCCAGUGGGGCUUAUGCAAUAUCUUCUCCUUGUGGUUGCUGGUAAAUGACAUUAAAUAUAAAAGGGUUAAAUCAUUGAAUCAAAUAUAUUAUUAUAAUGAAAAAAACCCAAGUAAAAUUUAGCAUUUCCGAAUAGCUUUGCCUGCCAUAUACAUGGUCAUAAAAUUAUGAAUCAUCUUAUUCCCAUGCCUUAUAUUCUAGAUCUUUCUUCGAUAGUUGGGUUCCAAGGAUUUGGUUUAGUUUUUCUUUGACUCAUAUAAUAAAAAUAAAGGGAGUACAAUGUUAUAUUUGGUUAGAAUGAAAUAAAGGUUAGAUGAUAAACUCACAGUUUAUGAAUAGAAUAAAACAGUUUAACAGGAAACACAUGGUUUGUGAUGAUAAACCAAACCAGAUUGAUGACCAAUAGGUUCUAGAUGGCCACCAUAAAAAAAUGACUAAAAUGACCCUAUCAAAAUAAGCCCUUAGUCAUUAUAGUAGUAGUAGCUAUUGUAGUUGCUAAAAGAUACAAUAGUAAUACCUAGGUGACCACUAAAACCUAUUUCCCAAAUAAGGGUAAAAAUGUCUUCCAUUGGAAUUGGGCACAGGAAAGGUCUGCCUGAAAGACCAACCACCUUUGAAAAUUCUUAGGUGAAACAUAAAAAUCAUGUUGCUUUUACCCAGCCUAAAUUAAUUCCUUUUGCCCACUCUUAUCCCUUAGUUGGAUGAAGAUGCUAUUUUGUUGGUCUUAGCAUACGAAUAAAUCAAAUAGAUAAAAAGUAAUGGACUGAAAGUUUUUUGAGUAUCUAGCAAAAGAAAAGUAAAAUUAUCAAAGGAUAAAAGAGGAAUAUACAUUUAGGUCAUUUUGAAUUUCUCCUGAAUCAGGGGAUGUAUAAUGUUACCAAUAUUUUAUAAGAUAUACCUCAAAGAAGGCUGACCAGAGCUAAAAUACAUCUAAAUUUCUUUUAUAAAAGAUAAUAUCUAAAUUUUUGACACUCCUUUAUUGACGUCUUAUUUUUUCUGAAAAUAACAGCAACAGAUGGAAGCUAGAUACAAAUUCUUUUCUUUCCAAAUGAAAAGAGAACUCAAUGCCUGAAAUUAAAAAACCUCACCAUAUAUAAUCAUAUGGAAAUAUUAGCAAGUGUUACCAUGUAAACAAGAAAACUGAAGUAGGCUUGCUUGAAUCAGAGCAUAAACAUGGCGGUAACAUGAGAACAGAUCAAAUCAAACUUAAAUUUCCUGAGAAGCUGAUGACGAUUUUCAAAAAUUAAAAUUCUAUUAACACAAAAGUCUUGACGUUCUCAAUACUAUGAAAAAAGAAAGGUACAAAGAAAUUACCUUUGAUUAUGAGAAGGUGGCAAGCAGCUUGGAAGAGGUAACCGUCAACUUAGUUGCCCCGGACAUCCGUCUACAACACACAACACACAUAAUGGAGAAACCAUGAUCCCUACUUCACAUUAGGAAAAGAGAUAUUGGAUACUGAUUAUUCCCAAAUUGGAACUUGAUUCGCCAGCCAAAUAAUUAAAACUAAAAAAAAGGAAUUGAAAGGAUUCAGAUGAAACCUCCAUGGAUUUCUAAACCAAACGGACAACGUGCUAUCAGAAACAACUACGAUCAACAAAGUGUGGAUCGGAAACCAUCAGAAUCGAUCUCGCCAGUUUGAACUUCCUUUUCGCACAUAAGCGGUGGAAUUACACAACAUAGAUGGUUAAGACUUGGUGGCUAAAGAAAUCGUCAAAUGAGAGAGAGAGAGAGAGAGAGAGAGAGAGAGAGAGAGAUACUGAAGAAGAAAGGCGAUCCUUUAGGGUUGAUAUUGGAAAAUCGAAUCUCUAUAUGGGAUUAAAUCCCAGAUUUCUGGAAUUUAGGGCUGAUUUAUAGCAUAAAAGUUGGAAAGUAGAGCGAUAAUGAAGGCGGAUUGGUAUUAAGAGGCAGAAAGGGUAUUUUUGGAACUUCACAUAGAAAACUUGAGCGAGAAAAAUUCGCCGGGAGUGGCUCAGGAAUUGCCAUGUGGCAAAAAGGUACUGUUUUAUUAGAAUAGGGAUUUGGUUGUGUAGAUAAUGUAUUUUU
rnacentral:lncRNA from 1 species